rnacentral:rRNA from 1 species
CCUACGGGGGGCAGCAGUAAGGAAUAUUGGUCAAUGGACGGAAGUCUGAACCAGCCAUCCCGCGUGCAGGAUGAAGGUCCUAUGGAUUGUAAACUGCUUUUAGCAGAGACGAAACGCUUUCAUUUAUGAGAGUCUGACGGUAUCUGCAGAAUAAGCACCGGCUAACUCCGUGCCAGCAGCCGCGGUAAUACGGAGGGUGCAAGCGUUAUCCGGAAUCACUGGGUUUAAAGGGUGCGUAGGCGGGAAAUUAAGUCAGUGGUGAAAUCCUGUCGCUUAACGAUAGAACUGCCAUUGAUACUGAUUUUCUUGAAUUGGGUUGAGGUUAGCGGAAUGUGACAUGUAGCGGUGAAAUGCAUAGAUAUGUCAUGGAACACCAAUUGCGAAGGCAGCUAACUGGGCCUUGAUUGACGCUGAGGCACGAAAGCGUGGGUAGCGAACAGGAUUAGAUACCCGUGUAGUC